rnacentral:rRNA from 1 species
AGAGUUUGAUCAUGGCUCAGAUUGAACGCUGGCGGCAGGCCUAACACAUGCAAGUCGAACGGUAACAGGAAACAGCUUGCUGUUUCGCUGACGAGUGGCGGACGGGUGAGUAAUGUCUGGGAAACUGCCUGAUGGAGGGGGAUAACUACUGGAAACGGUAGCUAAUACCGCAUAACGUCGCAAGACCAAAGAGGGGGACCUUCGGGCCUCUUGCCAUCAGAUGUGCCCAGAUGGGAUUAGCUAGUAGGUGGGGUAACGGCUCACCUAGGCGACGAUCCCUAGCUGGUCUGAGAGGAUGACCAGCCACACUGGAACUGAGACACGGUCCAGACUCCUACGGGGGGCAGCAGUGGGGAAUAUUGCACAAUGGGCGCAAGCCUGAUGCAGCCAUGCCGCGUGUAUGAAGAAGGCCUUCGGGUUGUAAAGUACUUUCAGCGGGGAGGAAGGGAGUAAAGUUAAUACCUUUGCUCAUUGACGUUACCCGCAGAAGAAGCACCGGCUAACUCCGUGCCAGCAGCCACGGUAAUACGGAGGGUGCAAGCGUUAAUAGGAAUUACUGGGCGUAAAGCGCACGCAGGCGGUUUGUUAAGUCAGAUGUGAAAUCCCCGGGCUCAACCUGGGAACUGCAUCUGAUACUGGCAAGCUUGAGUCUCGUAGAGGGGGGUAGAAUUCCAGGUGUAGCGGUGAAAUGCGUAGAGAUCUGGAGGAAUACCGGUGGCGAAGGCGGCCCCCUGGACGAAGACUGACGCUCAGGUGCGAAAGCGUGGGGAGCAAACAGGAUUAGAUACCCUGGUAGUCCACGCCGUAAACGAUGUCGACUUGGAGGUUGUGCCCUUGAGGCGUGGCUUCCGGAGCUAACGCGUUAAGUCGACCGCCUGGGGAGUACGGCCGCAAGGUUAAAACUCAAAUGAAUUGACGGGGGCCCGCACAAGCGGUGGAGCAUGUGGUUUAAUUCGAUGCAACGCGAAGAACCUUACCUGGUCUUGACAUCCACGGAAGUUUUCAGAGAUGAGAAUGUGCCUUCGGGAACCGUGAGACAGGUGCUGCAUGGCUGUCGUCAGCUCGUGUUGUGAAAUGUUGGGUUAAGUCCCGCAACGAGCGCAACCCUUAUCCUUUGUUGCCAGCGGUCCGGCCGGGAACUCAAAGGAGACUGCCAGUGAUAAACUGGAGGAAGGUGGGGAUGACGUCAAGUCAUCAUGGCCCUUACGACCAGGGCUACACACGUGCUACAAUGGCGCAUACAAAGAGAAGCGACCUCGCGAGAGCAAGCGGACCUCAUAAAGUGCGUCGUAGUCCGGAUUGGAGUCUGCAACUCGACUCCAUGAAGUCGGAAUCGCUAGUAAUCGUGGAUCAGAAUGCCACGGUGAAUACGUUCCCGGGCCUUGUGCACACCGCCCGUCACACCAUGGGAGUGGGUUGCAAAAGAAGUAGGUAGCUUAACCUUCGGGAGGGCGCUUACCACUUUGUGAUUCAUGACUGGGGUGAAGUCGUAACAAGGUAACCGUAGGGGAACCUGCGGUUG